ACUCCUACGGGAGGCAGCAGUGGGGAAUAUUGCACAAUGGGCGCAAGCCUGAUGCAGCCAUGCCGCGUGUAUGAAAGAAGGCCUUCGGGUUGUAAAGUACUUUCAGCAGUGAGGAAGGCGGGUACGUUAAUAGCGUGCUUGUUUGACGUUAGCUGCAGAAGAAGCACCGGCUAACUCCGUGCCAGCAGCCGCGGUAAUACGGAGGGUGCGAGCGUUAAUCGGAAUUACUGGGCGUAAAGCGCAUGCAGGUGGUUUGUUAAGUCAGAUGUGAAAGCCCGGGGCUCAACCUCGGAAUUGCAUUUGAAACUGGACAGACUAGAGUACUGUAGAGGGGGGUAGAAUUUCAGGUGUAGCGGUGAAAUGCGUAGAGAUCUGAAGGAAUACCGGUGGCGAAGGCGGCCCCCUGGACAGAUACUGACACUCAGAUGCGAAAGCGUGGGGAGCAAACAGGAUUAGAU
rnacentral:rRNA from 1 species